CCUUUAACUUAUCACUAGUCAAGAAACUAAGGUAUCCCAUAGUGUCGGUGUUUAAACUACCAGCAGAUGGCAGUGUGUAACCUCCUUUUACGUUCACAACCACACAUUGCUAGUUUGUGUCUCAGGCAAGGAGGAAUUGCCUUCACAAUAGAUCAUCUCCUCAGUCUGUUAGCCUAGAUCCAGCUGACACAGAAAUAACACUGCGCCCACCACAUCACCAAUUAACAGUCAAGAUACCCCUACCCUGAAAGCACCAUAAGUACCUAUAGUUAAAAAAAAGGCAGCUCCUUCAUAAACCCAUGGCUCACAGGCAUCAGCCUCUCAGGAUUACUCUAGAAUUGUGGAAAAUUUUUAAAUUGUAUUUCAUACUAAAAUGGUCUCAUCAAUUUUCCAUAAUUUUUGGUUUCUUGACGAACACCAAAUGGUUUUCUUUAUGUCCGAAACAUGUUCCAUAGAAUUGUGCUGGUUAACUUUUAAUACCUCACUCUUAUUGGCUGCAUACUGACAGGCAGACCAUCACGGGACGUAGAGCAAAGUACCAAAAUUUCAAAAAAAGUGCAACAGAUAUUUGAACAGAUUUGCAGCAGUAAUCCUAAUAAGAGGCACCAUAUUUUUUCAGAACACUUAUCACUUGCUCAUGUUGAUGGUUAGUGGUGGGUGCAGGAUAGAGCUCUCGAGACGGAAUGCAAGACCACCCAACCAAAUGCCUAUAGCCUGCUUUAUGUAAGAAUCCAGUAGUUCCCCUCCUCAAUUGAAUUUCUGGAUCCACCCCUGUUGAUGGGCAGCUUAUCAGAAGUACUGCCUUUUAGAAUUUAUCAUUCAAAUACUGCAGGAUUCCUCUUUUAAAG